GACGAACGCUGGCGGCGUGCUUAACACAUGCAAGUCGAACGGAAAGGCCCUGCUUUUGUGGGGUGCUCGAGUGGCGAACGGGUGAGUAACACGUGAGUAACCUUCCCUUGACUUUGGGAUAACUUCAGGAAACUGGGGCUAAUACCGGAUAGGAGCUCCUGCUGCAUGGUGGGGGUUGGAAAGUUUCGGCGGUUGGGGAUGGACUUGCGGCUUAUCAGCUUGUUGGUGGGGUAGUGGCUUACCAAGGCUUUGACGGGUAGCCGGCCUGAGAGGGUGACCGGCGACCAUGGUACUGAGAUACGGACCAGACUCCAACGGGAGGCAGCAGUGGGGAAUAUUGCACAAUGGGCGGAAGCCUGAUGCAGCAACGCCGCGUGCGGGAUGACGGCCUUCGGGUUGUAAACCGCUUUCGCCUGUGACGAAGCGUGAGUGACGGUACUGGGUAAAGAAGCACCGGCUAACUACGUG
rnacentral:rRNA from 1 species